rnacentral:lncRNA from 1 species
UGUUACACUUUUCAGUAAAGAGGGAUGGAAAAACCUUAAUGAAGGGAUAUAAUCAGGUGCUAGGGUGUAGCACAGCAGUGGGGCAUUUGUCUAACACGCAGGAGGUACAAGAAAAUAAUUACAUUUUUGCUUUAAAAGCCAGUCCCCGACCUCUCAGUCUUCGGUCCAAGGCCAUUUAUACAACCCAAACUACAUAUGCAUUUCAAGUUUUCUGGCAGCUACAUCAACAACAAAUAACAGCCGAAAAAUUGUUGAAAGUAUUUAUAAAGGCUGUCAAACAUUUUUGAGCGAAAAAAAUGUAGAUGUUGUAUUUUAUUAGGAGAAAGAAAUAAGGUAAUAAAUCCAUAGAAAAGUAAAUAGAAAUGAGGAAAGUUUUAACAAUAUAUUCUAUUCAACCCUAUGUCUCCACGGUAUCAUUCAACAUGUAAUCAAUGUAAAGAGUCGUAUUUUCGCGCCGCGUCUUCGGAGUCCUGUAUUUCCCGCGCGAAGCGCCGCUCGGUCUCCCGGGAACGGCCGCCUCUCGGGCGCCCGAGGGUCCUAAGCGGCCAGACGCAUCCUCCAGCUUCGGUGCUCGCCCUUCCGCAGGGGAUGCGCGCCUGACGCCCUCGGCCUUGCUCCACGUCACCGCGCGGCUGCGUCUCUGGACGGCUGGGGCCCGCAGAGCGUGGAGCUCUGAGUGGCCGGACCGCCCGGGAAGCCGCUAGAACAAAGGACGCAGGACACCCGCGCUUCUGGGGGCGCAGCCUACAGACGAGCAGCCCUAUGUCGCCCUUUGACGCCGUCACGCCGCGGGCGGAGGCGGGACUUCCGGGCGGGCGGAGGAACAACUUCCGGAGGGAGGCGGAAGAGGCUCUGAGGUCUCCGCUCUGGAGUCCUGGGAUCGCCGAGGGGCCACCGGAAAGGGUAGCUGGGGCUCGCCGGCCGCACUCGGGGUGUCGGAGCCUCGGUCUGAGGGAUGAGGAGCUGCCAUGGCCAGUGACGGGGCCAGGAAGCAGUUCUGGAAGCGCAGCACCAGCAAGGUCCCGGGCAGAAAGCGCCAGUGACCCGGUCCCUCUGCAGAGGUCCCAGUCUCUCCCCCACUCAGCCACCGUUACGCUGGGUGGGAUGCCCGAGCCCAGCACCCUGGGAAGCUCAGCGCUGAGUGAGAGAGAGGCCUCUCGGCUCGACAAGUUCAAGCAGCUGCUUGCCGAACCCAACACCGACCUUGGUGAGUCCUGCGCAGUGGGACUGGCGCGCAGUGCAUGUGUGUCCCUGUGGGUCCCCUUGGAGGAAGUUGCUGUGCUAUGCUUUCAUGCUGGAAAGUCCCCGAGCUACCAGAUGUCUGGCCAGUUCCUCUAGACAUGCCUCUGUUGUCAUUCCACAGCUUGUUUUCUGUUCCUCUUUCCUUGGUGCCCCCAUUUCCUGCUGCUGUUCUCAGUGUGCCCUGCCAGACUGGCCAGGUGGCCUCCUACUUCUCCAGAGGCUGAUGAAGACAGAGGCUCACAAUGGGACACGCUGGUCCAGAGGCAGGGGGACAGACUUCGAGAGGAUAGGCACCAGCCCGAGUCUUCCUGGGGAGCUGGGUGAGGCCCAUAGGACCUUGGCGGAGUCUGCCUAGAUUCCGAGGCACCUGCCUGCUUGCCAGCCUCUCUGUCGGAAUUCCCACCGAGUACAGCUCCCUUCUGUCACUUACACGGGUCAUCUUCGUUGAGGCCACUGUGCUAGGCAGAGGAGUGGGCUUGGCCAUGAGAUCACUCACAGUUGGGGGACAAAUAUUGGAAGAGACAGCUACUGGUGGUGCCAGAGUGGCGCUCUGAGGGCCCGAGCACUGGGCAUGCAGUGCCUGUUUUGGCCAGGAGGUGGCGGGUGGGGCACGUGGAUGGGCUGCCGGACGGAGCCCUGUGCCUGGGAAGCUGUGCGGCAGAGGGCGGAGCAGGGCGACUCCUUCCAGAAUGGCUGUGCUCAGUUUCAGACGCUGCGGUCUCUCACCUUUUCAGCCUGCAGUAGAGCUGCCAGAGCAGUGCAGGCAGCUCCCCUCGGCUUGUGAGCCAGACUCACUGUGGCUUCCAUCUCUGGUCUCCAUCUCUGUGUGUGUUUGUGUGUUUUCCCUGAAGCACUUGAGCGGCCGUUGGAAUUGCCUGUCCCUUUGGUCCAAAACACUUGACUGUGUUUCCUAAGAGUGCAGAUAUUCUUUAGAUAGUCACGGUGGUGUUGCUAAAAUAAAGAAAUGUAGCAGUGACACAGUACUAUCGUAUUGUUUUGCACGGUCACUUUGCCACCUUUCCCAGUGAUGUUCUUUCUCGCUUUUUUUCCAGAGCAGGAUUAUGCAUUCCGUUCAGCUGCCACGUCUCUCAGUCUCCAUUAACCUGGAGCAGCGGUGGUUCGGUCGCUUGCCGCUUUGCCUUUGAUCCUGACAUGUGAGGAGCGCUGGCAGUUGUUCAGUUGCUGUUUGUGUGAUGUGUCCUCGUGAUACGGUCUGCGUUAAUCACUUUUGGCAGGGGUGUCAUGGGGGAGACGUGGGAUCUUCUUGGUCCUGGCAGGAGGUGUGCGCUGUCCAUUUGUCCUAACGCCCUCAUGCUAACUCUGGUCGCUUGGCAGAGCGGUGUGCCAGCUCUUUCCGCGGACAGGCUGCUCUUUCCCCGUGGUAAUUAGAAUUCCUCUGUAAAGAGAGGCUUGGGUGCUUUUAGGCAGUAGAUUUCUUUCUCCUCAUGAGCGGCAGCACUAUUCUUUCUUGAAUUUAACUGUGUGUAUUUUCCCUUGGUUCAUAGGGAAUUGCGUGCUAUUCUAUGGGUGACCUCUAGUUUAUUUCACCCACCCCCUCCCGGUGGGUAUGUAGGUGACUCCUAAUUGUCCUUGUUACGAAACACUUGGGAACUUUCCUUCAGCCAUCUGAGCCCGAUACCAUUCACAGAGAAGCCCUUGGUGUGGUUGUGGGGAGCGGGAAGAAUGCAGGACGACACUUGUGAUUCUCAGGUCAGAACUGGAUAGGAGGGAAAGGCAGAUUAGAGGAGCGUAGUCUCGUGGCUUUCGUACUGACCUUAGCCCCUGGUUGCCUUCUCUGCUGAGGCCAUGUGGGGAGGCAGAACCAUGUAGUGCCCGGGAGAGUAGUUUUCAGAGUUGGUCGCCUUUGGGGAGAUGAUGAGUGAGUGGGUAACUCAUGAUCCUGUGCCUCAGGGCCCUUGCUCAGCUGGGAGAUGUGGUGACCACAGGCUCCAGUUUGCAGCCUGUGAUGAUACUCAUGCAGUGCUCAGGAGGGUGUGGGCUGCUAAUAAACACUCCAAGCGGUGUGUGCUUUUGUUAUUGUUAUUACCAGCAUUUGCAUUGACCAGCUUGCCCUCUACCUUGAUUUUUAUAGUACUGAUAAUUAUAGUAUGGCCACGCCAGUGAUUGGUAAUAGGUCAAGGUAGUUCACAGGUGGGUUCAGUGGCUUCUGGCUGGCUCUGGGCAGGUGGCCGGGAGAGAGCCGAUGGAAAGGGACUGGCUUGCAGGGAGGGUCCUGUUCCCAUCAGGCUCUGAGCACCAGCUUGGAUCUCCUUGUGAACUUCGUCAUUGGGCCAACUUUUGGAAAUUAAAAUCACACUAACAAAUAAACCUCUUAGGACUUGUGGG